CCAGAAAGAAGGUUCUGAAUCUCGAAAUUUUAAUAAUUACAUUUAUAAUAGUACACCUAUAAUCAACCCAACACUGAAAAGUUAAUAAUUACAUGAAAGAAAGGAAAACAUCAUACAACUUUUGUAAUGAAUUUCUCACAGCUUUUUCAUAGGAGAUAACACAAAUAAAGAACCAUUUCAAAAGAAUAUUUACCAUGAAAUUAUUUUACAAGGAUUAAGAACGUUAAACUAGGCCAAUAGCCAAUUAGCAUUUCAAACCACUCAGUCCUUGGAGUCUUUUCCCCUGAAAUUUUCAUUCCGGAAAAUAUAUCUGCAGGAAUCAGCGAACCAAAAAGCCCUACUCACUAGAAAACUUAAUACUCUUCAGCUGAACUUUAAUUGAACAUCUGUGACCUUCUGAUGUCAUACAGAGACUAGUAUGGCUCAUUUGGAUCUACUAGGUAGCUCAGAAGCUUCAUCUAUUUUAGGAGGCAAGAGGCCGAGGAAGCUCCCUUGCACAGGUUGAUUGGCAGCAGCUGACUCAUCUUCUGCAACAAACAAACCAUAUUAGCAAGAAAAUGGGAAUCACACUUUGACAACUGGAAGCUAUAUGACUCACACAGCUAUCUCAUUAAGAAGCUCAUUGCAGUAAAAUUCUGAAAUUCAUAAAAGAAUAGGCCAGCAUUCCAUAAAAUUUCAUGACAAGGAUAUAACCAAAACUUGAUAAAUUAAAUAGCUAUCGUCCAUCAGGCCACAUAAAAAAUCCAGCACUCUCAUUAGUAUGAUAUACUUAUCUGUCUGUCGAUAAUAGUACCAAUAUAAACAUGAAAAAACACAUUUAGAUGAUUUCAUCCACAUACAAGAGAGAUCUCUGAAGUCAUUGAAUUUACAGGACCUUAGAUAAAUGGGGAAAACUGACUCCACAUCAUCAAAGUAACUUGCAAAAGAAUCAAAUAAGUCUAUAUCCAAAUAUGCUAGUGUCUAUCUCCGUAUUGGUUCAAUUUUAAUCCAUGGACUAUGGCAACUUUCCAUUAGAUCAUCUCGUAAUCAACUGGUAUAGAAUGCUAAUUAUCAGACAACAAAAAAGUGUAUAAAAUGACAUUCUCAAUGAUUAAAAAAAAAAUCAGAAAAUCUUACCAAAAAGGGAUUUGAUAGACGGUCUCUUAGGUUUUGUGCUCUUCUUCUUUAGUUCAGCAAUCCCAGGUAACUGAUUAUCAUUUACAAUUUCAAAGUUCUUGUAUGUAUAACCCACAAAAUUAAUAUCCUUGGAUGAGAGCAUCUGCAAAGACAACAAAACAGCAACAAUCAGUUAAUAUCUAGACAUGUUAAACAUUAUAUAACAUCAAUCAACUAACAUUAUAUAACAUCAAUUAACUACAAGCCAACUUCCAUGUCAUUCGAUGAAUGGCUAUUCUAUAACCAUCAAAGCCAUCUGUCAGUCUCUAACACCAAAAGGUUUAUGCUGAAGGAAUGAAAAGCAAAUUUACAAGCAUCCACUUUCCUUAGAGAAGGAACAUGAAACAGCGUGACUAGAUCAAAACAAAGACAGGAAAGACCUUCUAACGAAAAAAUGGAAGUUCUUCACCCUUCCGAAAUUCCUAUAUUACAAAUAACAUCACUAUCUUGUGAGACAGCAAAUUUGUGUAUCCACUAAUCAUCAUAUCAAGAUGGAGAAAUGCAUUUUGACCGCACCAUAUAUAAACUAAAUUAAAAAGAAAGAUACCAAAAAAGAUGAUAACGAUAUCCGGAAACAAUGGUUCUAUUCUGACCAAGCAACUGCUGUGGACCAAGCAGCAAAAAAAUUUUGAAUAGAGGUGCAGGUUCUCUAGAAGAACAUUAAUGAAGACAUUAAAACAGCAACUCCUUAGAGUUAGAUGCAUGCACUUAAAUCUAUAUGUACCAACCUUUCUCCAUGGACCAGCUCUUGUUGAAGUCUGAAUUUGGCUGUCAGCCUACAAAAAGAAUUGAGUGAAUGGAAAAAAAAGGCAAGCAACCAAAUGCUUUUACUCAAGAAAUUACCAAGAUUUUUACU
rnacentral:misc_RNA from 1 species